rnacentral:rRNA from 1 species
AUUGAACGCUGGCGGCAGGCUUAACACAUGCAAGUCGAGCGGGGUGAUGGUGCUUGCACUAUCACUUAGCGGCGGACGGGUGAGUAAUGCUUAGGAAUCUGCCUAUUAGUGGGGGACAACAUCUCGAAAGGGAUGCUAAUACCGCAUACGUCCUACGGGAGAAAGCAGGGGAUCACUUGUGACCUUGCGCUAAUAGAUGAGCCUAAGUCGGAUUAGCUAGUUGGCGGGGUAAAGGCCUACCAAGGCGACGAUCUGUAGCGGGUCUGAGAGGAUGAUCCGCCACACUGGGACUGAGACACGGCCCAGACUCCUACGGGAGGCAGCAGUGGGGAAUAUUGGACAAUGGGGGGAACCCUGAUCCAGCCAUGCCGCGUGUGUGAAGAAGGCCUUAUGGUUGUAAAGCACUUUAAGCGAGGAGGAGACUCUUUUGGUUAAUACCCAAGAUGAGUGGACGUUACUCGCAGGAUAAGCACCGGCUAACUCUGUGCCAGCAGCCGCCGUAA